rnacentral:rRNA from 1 species
UACAGAGGUCCCAAGCGUUGUUCGGAUUCAUUGGGCGUAAAGGGUGCGUAGGCGGUGCGGUAAGUCGGGUGUGAAAUCUCGGGGCUUAACUCCGAAACUGCAUUCGAUACUGCCGUGCUUGAGGACUGGAGAGGAGACUGGAAUUUACGGUGUAGCGGUGAAAUGCGUAGAUAUCGUAAGGAAGACCAGUGGCGAAGGCGGGUCUCUGGACAGUUCCUGACGCUGAGGCACGAAGGCCAGGGGAGCAAACGGGG